rnacentral:rRNA from 1 species
AUGGCCCUUACAUCCCGGGCUACGACACGUGCUACAAUGGCAGGUACAGGAGGGCUGCGAAGCCGCGAGGUGGAGCGAAUCCCAGAAAAACCUGUCUCAGUCCGGAUUGAAGUCUGCAACUCGACUUCAUGAAGGCGGAAUCGCUAGUAACCGCGAAUCAGCAGGUCGCGGUGAAUACGUUCCCGGGCCCUU